CGGCAUCUGACGUGCAUGCGAAGUAGAGGAUCUGUAUAUUCAGGCCUCCGUAAAGGUUUAUAUCAGAUAAUUUGAGAUUUGAUCUUUGAUUCCAUUAUGAUUCAGAUAAAAAUUUAAUCUUUAAACAAGUAGAAUAUUAAAAAAAAUUCUUAGAUGUAAUGUGGGCAUUCUAGAGGGAAACUGUUCCCUUCCCUUCAACUGGUAUCAGAGCAGGUUUGAAAUAUAUGCAUGCAAAAUAAAAUUUUUUAUGAUUAUUUAUAUGAGAUAUAAUUAAA
rnacentral:lncRNA from 1 species